rnacentral:rRNA from 1 species
CCCAAGAGACUGGGAUAACACCUGGAAACAGAUGCUAAUACCGGAUAACAACACUAGACGCAUGUCUAGAGUUUAAAAGAUGGUUCUGCUAUCACUCUUGGAUGGACCUGCGGUGCAUUAGCUAGUUGGUAAGGUAACGGCUUACCAAGGCAAUGAUGCAUAGCCGAGUUGAGAGACUGAUCGGCCACAUUGGGACUGAGACACGGCCCAAACUCCUACGGAAGGCAGCAG